AGUGAACGCUGGCGGUAGGCCUAACACAUGCAAGUCGAACGGCAGCACAGGAGAGCUUGCUCUCUGGGUGGCGAGUGGCGGACGGGUGAGGAAUACAUCGGAAUCUACUUUUUCGUGGGGGAUAACGUAGGGAAACUUACGCUAAUACCGCAUACGACCUACGGGUGAAAGCAGGGGACCUUCGGGCCUUGCGCGAUUGAAUGAGCCGAUGUCGGAUUAGCUAGUUGGCGGGGUAAAGGCCCACCAAGGCGACGAUCCGUAGCUGGUCUGAGAGGAUGAUCAGCCACACUGGAACUGGGACACGGUCCAGACUCCUACGGGAGGCAGCAGUGGGGAAUAUUGGACAAUGGGCGCAAGCCUGAUUCAGCCAUACCGCGUGGGUGAAGAAGGCCUUCGGGUUGUAAAGCCCUUUUGUUGGGAAAGAAAUCCAGCUGGCUAAUACCCGGUUGGGAUGACGGUACCCAAAGAAUAAACACCGGCUAACUUCGUGCCAGCCGCCGCAGUAA
rnacentral:rRNA from 1 species